rnacentral:rRNA from 1 species
GACGAACGCUGGCGGCGUGCUUAACACAUGCAAGUCGAACGAGUGGCGAACGGGUGAGUAAUACGUGAGUAACCUGCCCUCUUUUUGGGAUAAGACUUUGAAAAGGGGUCUAAUACCGAAUAAAAGGGGAUGGGGUCGCGGCCUAUCAGGUUGUUGGUGGGGUGAUGGCCUACCAAGGCGGUGACGGGUAGCCGGCCUGAGAGGGUGACCGGCGACAUUGGGAAUGAGCUACGGCCCAGACUACUACGGGAGGCAGCAGUGGUGGAUAUUGGACAAAGGGCGAAAGCCUCAUGCAGCGGUGUCGCAUGGGGGAUGAAGGCUUUCGGGGUGGAAACAUCGGUCGCGAUCGAACCGUUAGUUGGAGAAGAAGCGCCGGCUAACUACGUGCCAGCAGCCGCGGUAAUAC